UUGCCCCACCCCUCCCGCCUGUCAGUCAGGCUGCUAGCGGUAGGCUUCUUAGCGCAGGGCGUUAGCUUGCUAGCUUAGCGUCCCUGGAACCACACAAACAUGGCGGACACAGCCAGGGAGCCUCCGCCCGACCGCAGCGGCUUCCAGGAGUUGGAGGACGCCGAGGACCUGUUCCCGGAGCUGGCGGUCCCUCGGGAGGCAGAACCGGCCCGUCUGUCCACGCAGGACAUUGGCACCGAGUCCAACGGGCCCAAACGGGACUCCUUCUUUGACGACGACGUAGAUGACCUGUUUGCAGAAGCCACAGACGAGGUGUCCCUGGACAGUCCAGAGAGGGAAGUCCUGUUGUCUGACGGCCCGUCCCCCGCCAUGACCCCCAUCACCCCGCCCACGUCCGUCAUCACCCCUCGCAUCGGCCACGCCCACGACGACAUGUUUACACACUCCUCCUUUGACGAGGUUGAAGAAGACGAGGCUGGAGAUGCCUUCGACGUGCACAUCUCCGUGUCUGACCCUGAGAAAGUUGGCGACGGCAUGAACGCCUACAUGGCCUACAAGGUCACCACCAAGACGUCCUCGUCUCUUUUCAGGCUGCGUGAGUUCUCCGUCCGACGCCGUUUCAGCGACUUCCUGGGCCUGCACGGCAAGCUGGCGUCCAGGUACCUGCACGGGGGCUACAUCGUGCCCCCCGCCCCCGAGAAGAGCAUCGUGGGCAUGACCAAGGUGAAGGUGGGCAAGGAGGACCCGUCGUCCAACGAGUUUGUGGAGAAGCGACGUCUGGCGUUGGAGAGGUACCUGAUGAGGACGGUGCAGCAUCCCGUCCUCCUUAAAGACCCGGACCUCCUGCAGUUUUUGGAAAGUUCUGAGCUGCCGCGGGCCGUCAGCACGCAGGCGCUGAGCGGCGCCGGCCUCCUCCGUAUGGUCAACAAAGCCGCCGACGCCGUCAACAAGAUGACCAUCAAGAUGAACGAGUCCGACGCUUGGUUUGAAGAGAAGCAGCAACAUUUUGAAAAUCUGGACAUCCAGCUGAGGAAACUUCACGCUAGUGUGGAAUCGCUGGUUUGUCACAGGAAAGAGUUGUCGCUGAACACGGCGCAGUUUGCCAAGUCGGCGGCCAUGUUGGGCAACAGCGAGGACCACACGGCGUUGUCUCGUGCUCUGUCCCAGCUGGCCGAGGUGGAGGAGAAGAUGGAGCAGCAGCACCACGAGCAGGCCGACGCCGACUUCUACUUCCUGUCCGAGCUGGUGGGCGACUACGUGCGCCUCCUCGCUGCCGUCAAGGGCGUGUUUGAGCAGCGCGUGAAGACGUGGCAGAAGUGGCAGGACACUCAGCUUCUCCUGCAGAAGAAACGCGAGGCUGAAGUCAAGCUGCAGUUUUCUAACAAAGCUGACAAAGUUGCACAGGCCAAAGACGACAUCAAGGAGGUACCACUCUGACUACAAUUCACAGCUCAGCCAAUCCAUCAGGAAGCAUCUGCCUUAGAAAGCAAACACGCUUGCUGGUGUGUCCAGUGGUAUAAAACCAACGCACCCUCGCAGUCAAGUGAGAAGGUUUGAGUUUGCAGUUGAAGAAUUUUGUGGAGCGAAGAAGAAGAAAAAUACUUUUAUUAGUCUGUCAGCACACAAAUUCAGCCUCCGAGCUGUCACUCACGCACACGCACACACACAGUCGGCAUGGUCGGGGGUCCGCUGUUAGCGUGGACGAGCUGUCGGGAGCGUUGACAAGUCAACAUUUGUCAGUAGACUUACUACACACCUUUAUUAUCUGGACCACACGCACACACACGCACACACACACACACACACACACACACGCACACACACGCACACACACGCACACAGGCAGUGUUUGUGGGGUGAUCAGCAUCUCCCCUCGUUAAAAAAGGAUUAGUUUGCUGAAUGUCACAUGACACGUUAGAGAUGAUCUGUCAAGUAUUUCUCCUGCACGUCUUUGCUCAAUGAUGGUGCUUGGAACGCUUCCCAGCAUGCCUUGCGGUGCUAACUAGACGUCAUCAUACUUCCCAGCAUGCCUUGCGGCGCUAACUAGACGUCAUCAUACUUCCCAGCAUGCCUUGCGGUGCUAGCAGGAGGUCGUACGCUACUUGUUGACUUGUUUAUGUGUACUGUCAUAUUCCCACCACGCCUUCCCGCUCCAGGAGAUACAAGAGUUGGAGGUGAAGGUCCGGCAGGGGGAGCGAGACUUCCAGAAGAUCUCUCAAAGCAUCCGCAGGGAGGUGGGCCGCUUUGAGAGACGACGCGUGAGCGACUUCAAGAACAUCUUCAUCAGAUACUUGGAGGCCCUCGUUGGCGCGCAGC